rnacentral:rRNA from 1 species
UACGGGGGGGGCAAGCGUUGUUCGGAAUUACUGGGCGUAAAGGGCUCGUAGGCGGCCAACUAAGUCGGACGUGAAAUCCCUCGGCUUAACCGGGGAACUGCGUCUGAUACUGGAUGGCUUGAAUCCGGGAGAGGGAUGCGGAAUUCCAGGUGUAGCGGUGAAAUGCGUAGAUAUCUGGAGGAACACCGGUGGCGAAGGCGGCAUCCUGGACCGGCAUUGACGCUGAGGCGCGAAAGCCAGGGGAGCAAACGGG